GUACAUUAAAACUCAGAUGUUGAGGAAUUCAAUGAGGUAUUAACCUUGUUUGGAAUAAAGAAUAUAGAGAGAACAUAAUUGAGGUUGAGGAUAUUCCUAUAGCAUAUUAGGUAUAAAUUUUACAGGUGAUAGACACUGCAAUAGACUUGGAGAAAAGGAAUAACCCAAUGAUAUUAUUAUCUGAAUAUUCAUGGGCAUUCAUGGGAUUAAGAAUAAACAUAAGACAAAGGACAUAGUCUAAUCAGGAGUUGAAUUAUGGGUUUAACAUUCUUGAUCUCUUACUUAACUAGAGCAAAA
rnacentral:lncRNA from 1 species